rnacentral:rRNA from 1 species
UGGGGAAUAUUGGGCAAUGGGCGCAAGCCUGACCCAGCAACGCCGCGUGAAGGAAGAAGGCCCUCGGGUUGUAAACUUCUUUUAUCAAGGACGAAGAAAGUGACGGUACUUGAUGAAUAAGCCACGGCUAACUACGUGCCAGCAGCCGCGGUAAUACGUAGGUGGCAAGCGUUAUCCGGAUUUACUGGGUGUAAAGGGCGUGUAGGCGGGAUGGUAAGUCAGAUGUGAAAACCCGGGGCUCAACCCCGGGACUGCAUUGGAAACUGUUUUUCUAGAGUGUCGGAGGGGCAAGUGGAAUUCCUAGUGUAGCGGUGAAAUGCGUAGAUAUUAGGAGGAACACCAGUGGCGAAGGCGGCUUGCUGGACGAUGACUGACGUUGAGGCUCGAAAGCGUGGGGAGCAAACAGGAUUAGAUACC